rnacentral:lncRNA from 1 species
GAAGGUGAAGGUUCAGAGGGUAAAAUCGGACACGGAGAAUGCGAGGAAGUAACAAUCUGUGAAGACUGAAGCAGUCUAGGUGUAGCUGGUAAUGGUUCGGAGCUAGCAGAAGGAGAAAUAGAAGCAGAGGGCACACAAGUCCGAGUAGCAGCGGCACGAGAAUAUUGCUAAAUCAUAGGAGGGACCUCUGGAAUAGACGCAUCAGAGAUAGCUUGUGAUGGUGAGGAGAAAACAGAACCUAUUCCAA